ACCGACAGCAAUAGUAGAAGGCCAGGCUGAAGACUUUGCCGGAUUAGCUGAGAGGUGGUGCAUGGCCGUCGUCAGUUCGUACUGUGAAGCAUCCUGUUAAGUCAGGCAACGAGCGAGACCCACGCCCACAGUUGCCAGCGUACUCUCUGGAGUGACGGGUACACUGUGGGACCGCCGCUGCUAAAGCGGAGGAAGGAAUGGGCAACGGUAGGUCAGUAUGCCCCGAAUAUCCCGGGCUACACGCGAGCUACAAUGGUUGGUACAAUGGGUAUCUACCCCGAAAGGGGACGGGAAUCUCCUAAAACCAAUCUUAGUUCGGAUUGAGGGCUGCAACUCGCCCUCAUGAAGCUGGAAUCCGUAGUAAUCGCGUUUCAACAGAACGCGGUGAAUACGUCCCUGCUCCUU
rnacentral:rRNA from 1 species